GCAUUGGUGGUUCAGUGGUAGAAUUCUUGCCUGCCACGCAGGAGGCCUGGGUUCGAUUCCCAGCCAAUGCC